rnacentral:rRNA from 1 species
AUUGAACGCUGGCGGCAUGCCUUACACAUGCAAGUCGAACGGUAACAGGUCUUCGGAUGCUGACGAGUGGCGAACGGGUGAGUAAUACAUCGGAACGUGCCUAGUAGUGGGGGAUAACUACUCGAAAGAGUGGCUAAUACCGCAUGAGAUCUACGGAUGAAAGCAGGGGAUCGCAAGACCUUGUGCUACUGGAGCGGCCGAUGGCAGAUUAGGUAGUUGGUGGGAUAAAAGCUUACCAAGCCGACGAUCUGUAGCUGGUCUGAGAGGACGAUCAGCCACACGGGGACUGAGACACGGCCCAGACUCCGACGGGAGGCAGCAGUGGGGAAUUUUGGACAAUGGGCGCAAGCCUGAUCCAGCAAUGCCGCGUGCAGGAUGAAGGCCUUCGGGUUGUAAACUGCUUUUGUACGGAACGAAAAGCCCCGGGUUAAUACCCUGGGGUCAUGACGGUACCGUAAGAAUAAGCACCGGCUAACUACGUGCCAGCCGCCGCGGUAA